rnacentral:rRNA from 1 species
UACGGAGGGGGCAAGCGUUGUCCGGAAUUAUUGGGCGUAAAGAGCUUGUAGGCGGUCUGUCGCGUCUGCUGUGAAAAUCCGGGGCUCAACCCCGGACUUGCAGUGGGUACGGGCAGACUAGAGUGUGGUAGGGGAGACUGGAAUUCCUGGUGUAGCGGUGAAAUGCGCAGAUAUCAGGAGGAACACCGAUGGCGAAGGCAGGUCUCUGGGCCACUACUGACGCUGAGAAGCGAAAGCAUGGGGAGCGAACAGG